UACGUAGGGUGCGAGCGUUGUCCGGAAUUAUUGGGCGUAAAGAGCUUGUAGGCGGUCUGUCGCGUCUGCUGUGAAAAUCCGGGGCUCAACCCCGGACUUGCAGUGGGUACGGGCAGACUAGAGUGUGGUAGGGGAGACUGGAAUUCCUGGUGUAGCGGUGAAAUGCGCAGAUAUCAGGAGGAACACCGGUGGCGAAGGCGGGUCUCUGGGCCGAUACUGACGCUGAGGAGCGAAAGCGUGGGUAGCAAACAGG
rnacentral:rRNA from 1 species